UACGUAGGGUGCGAGCGUUAAUCGGAAUUACUGGGCGUAAAGUGUGCGCAGGUGGCCGCGCAAGUCGAGUGUGAAAUCCCCGAGCUUAACUUGGGAAUUGCGCUCGAAACUACGUGGCUCGAGUGUGGCAGAGGAAGGUGGAAUUCCACGUGUAGCGGUGAAAUGCGUAGAUAUCAAGUGGAACACCAGUGGCGAAGGCGAAUCCCUGGAAAAUACCUGACACUGAGGCACGAAAGCUAGGGGAGCAAACAGG
rnacentral:rRNA from 1 species